AUUGUGUUAUAAGACUAAGACAAAACUACACAUCAUCUGUCACCUAGUUAGAAACAAUUGACUAUGCAUGCACCUUCCAAUCCUUCAGCUGCCCUGGGGUCCUACAUCCUUUGACCUCCACCAUCUUCGUCACUACCACUGGCUCCAUCUCAUUCACAGAUCUUCCAUCUCCACUUUGCCACUCAGGUCCACUCAAGUGUCACUUGCUCCGUCUUGAUCUCCAGCAUUACUGGCUUUGAUCCAACGUGGAUCUCCAACCGUCUAGUUCCAUCUAGACAUCCUUCUCUGCCAUUCUUACUCAACAAAAAUAUCUUCACAGAGACUUAAUCUCUGCGAUCUUCAUCAUUCCCACCGACUCCACCUCAGUCUGCCGAUCUUCUGUCUUCACCUUGGCCCUCCAGUCCAGUGGCAUUAUACUGGUUCUCCAGCAGUUUGGCACCAUCUUGGUCUACAGCUUUCCUGAUUUCACCUUGGUCUUCCAUCUACUCAACUCUGUCCUGGUUUGCCUCACCCAUGGCUCCACAGUGUCUCUCUAUCUUUGUGGCUCCAUCAAAGCAUCCCUCCGUCCCAGUUUUGCUAAACAAGACAUCUUUACAGAUACAUGAUCUCCACCAUCUUCAACACUCCCACUGGCUCUUCCUCGGUCUGCAGAUCUUCUACAUCCACCUAGGCCCUCAAGCCCUGCUGUAUUACCCUGGUUGUCCAGUCCUCUGGUUACAUCCAUCUUGGUAUCAAGCCAUCCUGACUCUGCCUUGGCCUUCUGUCUGGUCUGCACAGCCUGAGGAUCGACAAUGGGUCUCCAUUGCUCCGAUUCCAUCAAGGCAUUCCACUAUGCCAUUUCUGCCAUGACACCCUCCAUUACUUUUACAGUGGUUUCUUCUUCCACUGCACACCCUUGACCUCUUCCUUCACUAUUUGUGCAGUAGUCUCUUCCUCUGCCAGCUCCACUGUAGUCUCUUACCCUCACCAUCACACUGGCUGUUUAAGAGUCAAAAGCUGCCUUUUGGAAAGGCAGGUACUUUCAAGUUCUGUUUCUGCUCUAGGAGUUUAUAUUUAUAUUUAGUUCCUGUUUUCUGAGGUGCCAAUAUACAUUUUCACUUUGUUCUGAUUUGUUUAAUCAGUUGCAUAUUGUGUUAACCUAUGUUUAUUGAAUUUAUUGUUAUUUUUAUGUAUGUAUUUUAUAUUUCCUAAAUCUUUCCUGAGCUAUUUUUUGUU